rnacentral:tRNA from 1 species
AAUGAAGUGCCUGAAUAAAGGGUUAUUUUGAUAGAAUAAAUUAUGUAGAUUUCUACCUUCAUUA